UACGUAGGAUCCAAGCGUUGUCCGGAUUUACUGGGUGUAAAGGGUGCGCAGGCGGACUGGUAAGUCAGAGGUGAAAUCUCAUCGCUCAACGGUGAAACUGCCUUUGAUACUAUCAUUCUUGAGUCCGAUAGAGAUCUGUGGAAUUCCGAGUGUAGCAGUGAAAUGUGUAGAUAUUCGGAAGAACACCAGUGGCGAAGGCAGCAGAUUGGGUCGGUACUGACGCUCAGGCACGAAAGCAUGGGGAUCAAACAGG
rnacentral:rRNA from 1 species